rnacentral:rRNA from 1 species
CUGAGCGGCGGACGGGUGAGUAACGCGUGGGUAACCUGCCUCAUACAGGGGGAUAACAGUUGGAAACGGCUGCUAAUACCGCAUAAGCGCACAGUACCGCAUGGUACGGUGUGAAAAACUCCGGUGGUAUGAGAUGGACCCGCGUCUGAUUAGGUAGUUGGUGGGGUAACGGCCUACCAAGCCGACGAUCAGUAGCCGACCUGAGAGGGUGACCGGCCACAUUGGGACUGAGACACGGCCCAA